CCCGCCAUAGUUUAUGUAAAAAACAUCGACCUGCAAAAUCGAGAAAGGAGAACUAUCCUGGUGUGU
rnacentral:tRNA from 1 species